UGUCCUCCAUCGGAGAUCUAUAUUGAGCAGAUUCUUUUUGGUGUUGGGUGGUGGAACCGGAGCUUGCUCCAUCCACUCCAUGCAUUGACCUGGUAUUACAGUGCUUCCAGGACUGGUGC
rnacentral:snRNA from 1 species